GUCGAGCGAACGGACGAGAAGCUUGCUUCUCUGAUGUUAGCGGCGGACGGGUGAGUAACACGUGGAUAACCUACCUAUAAGACUGGGAUAACUUCGGGAAACCGGAGCUAAUACCGGAUAAUAUUUUGAACCGCAUGGUUCAAAAGUGAAAGACGGUCUUGCUGUCACUUAUAGAUGGAUCCGCGCUGCAUUAGCUAGUUGGUAAGGUAACGGCUUACCAAGGCAACGAUGCAUAGCCGACCUGAGAGGGUGAUCGGCCACACUGGAACUGAGACACGGUCCAGACUCCUACGGGAGGCAGCAGUAGGGAAUCUUCCGCAAUGGGCGAAAGCCUGACGGAGCAACGCCGCGUGAGUGAUGAAGGUCUUCGGAUCGUAAAACUCUGUUAUUAGGGAAGAACAUAUGUGUAAGUGACUGUGCACAUCUUGACGGUACCUAAUCAGAAAGCCACGGCUAACUACGUGCCAGCAGCCGCGGUAAUACGUAGGUGGCAAGCGUUAUCCGGAAUUAUUGGGCGUAAAGCGCGCGUAGGCGGUUUUUUAAGUCUGAUGUGAAAGCCCACGGCUCAACCGUGGAGGGUCAUUGGAAACUGGAAAACUUGAGUGCAGAAGAGGAAAGUGGAAUUCCAUGUGUAGCGGUGAAAUGCGCAGAGAUAUGGAGGUACACCAGUGGCGAAGGCGACUUUCUGGUCUGUA
rnacentral:rRNA from 1 species